rnacentral:sRNA from 1 species
CGUAACAAGGUCUCCGUUGGUGAACCAGCGGAGGGAUCAUUACCGAGUUUACAACUCCCAAACCCCUGUGAACAUACCACUUGUUGCCUCGGCGGAUCAGCCCGCUCCCGGUAAAACGGGACGGCCCGCCAGAGGACCCCUAAACUCUGUUUCUAUAUGUAACUUCUGAGUAAAACCAUAAAUAAAUCAAAACUUUCAACAACGGAUCUCUUGGUUCUGGCAUCGAUGAAGAACGCAGCAAAAUGCGAUAAGUAAUGUGAAUUGCAGAAUUCAGUGAAUCAUCGAAUCUUUGAACGCACAUUGCGCCCGCCAGUAUUCUGGCGGGCAUGCCUGUUCGAGCGUCAUUUCAACCCUCAAGCACAGCUUGGUGUUGGGACUCGCGUUAAUUCGCGUUCCUCAAAUUGAUUGGCGGUCACGUCGAGCUUCCAUAGCGUAGUAGUAAAACCCUCGUUACUGGUAAUCGUCGCGGCCACGCCGUUAAACCCCAACUUCUGAAUGUUGACCUCGGAUCAGGUAGGAAUACCCGCUGAACUUAAGCAUAUCAAUAAGCGGAGGAAAAGAAACCAACAGGGAUUGCCCUAGUAACGGCGAGUGAAGCGGCAACAGCUCAAAUUUGAAAUCUGGCUCUCGGGCCCGAGUUGUAAUUUGUAGAGGAUACUUUUGAUGCGGUGCCUUCCGAGUUCCCUGGAACGGGACGCCAUAGAGGGUGAGAGCCCCGUCUGGUUGGAUGCCAAAUCUCUGUAAAGUUCCUUCAACGAGUCGAGUAGUUUGGGAAUGCUGCUCUAAAUGGGAGGUAUAUGUCUUCUAAAGCUAAAUACCGGCCAGAGACCGAUAGCGCACAAGUAGAGUGAUCGAAAGAUGAAAAGCACUUUGAAAAGAGAGUUAAAAAGUACGUGAAAUUGUUGAAAGGGAAGCGUUUAUGACCAGACUUGGGCUUGGUUAAUCAUCUGGGGUUCUCCCCAGUGCACUUUUCCAGUCCAGGCCAGCAUCAGUUUUCCCCGGGGGAUAAAGGCGGCGGGAAUGUGGCUCUCUUCGGGGAGUGUUAUAGCCCACCGUGUAAUACCCUGGGGGGGACUGAGGUUCGCGCAUCUGCAAGGAUGCUGGCGUAAUGGUCAUCAACGACCCGUCUUGAAACACGGACCAAGGAGUCGUCUUCGUAUGCGAGUGUUCGGGUGUCAAACCCCUACGCGUAAUGAAAGUGAACGCAGGUGAGAGCUUCGGCGCAUCAUCGACCGAUCCUGAUGUUCUCGGAUGGAUUUGAGUAAGAGCAUACGGGGCCGGACCCGAAAGAAGGUGAACUAUGCCUGUAUAGGGUGAAGCCAGAGGAAACUCUGGUGGAGGCUCGCAGCGGUUCUGACGUGCAAAUCGAUCGUCAAAUAUGGGCAUGGGGGCGAAAGACUAAUCGA